UUAUCGCCCCGCUGUGCAUACGGUGCACACA
rnacentral:sRNA from 1 species